rnacentral:rRNA from 1 species
UGGGGAAUAUUGCACAAUGGGGGAAACCCUGAUGCAGCGACGCCGCGUGAACGAAGAAGGUAUUCGUAUCGUAAAGUUCUGUCCUAUGGGAAGAUAAUGACAGUACCAUAGAAGAAAGCUCCGGUUAAAUACGUCCCAGCAGCCGCGGUAAUACGUAUGGAGCGAGCGUUGUCCGGAAUUAUUGGGCGUAAAGGGUACGCAGGCGGUUUAAUAAGUCGAAUGUUAAAGAUCGGGGCUCAACCCCGUAAAGCAUUGGAAACUGAUAAACUUGAGUAAUGAAGAGGAAAGUGGAAUUCCUAGUGUAGUGGUGAAAUACGUAGAUAUUAGGAGGAAUACCAGUAGCGAAGGCGACUUUCUGGACACAAACUGACGCUGAGGUACGAAAGCGUGGGGAGCAAACAGG